rnacentral:rRNA from 1 species
AGAAUCAACGCUGGCGGCGUGCCUAACACAUGCAAGUCGCACGAGAAAGGGGAGCAAUCCCUGAGUAAAGUGGCGCACGGGUGAGUAACACGUGAAUAAUCUACCUCCGAGUGGGGAAUAACUGAGAGAAAUCUUAGCUAAUACCGCAUAAUACCCACGGGUCAAAGCAGCAAUGCGCUUGGAGAGGAGUUCGCGGCCGAUUAGUUAGUUGGCGGGGUAAUGGCCCACCAAGACGGUGAUCGGUA